AAAACCAUAAAACCUUUCAUCAAUAUCUCAGCUCUAAUUUUAUUGAUUUAUAAUCAUUUCUGAACAGUGAGGUGAAUCUCCACAUCAUGGGGACACUUUUUUUUUUUUUUUUGCACUUUAUUUAUAGAAUUUUUCAACAGCAAGACAACAAACGUUUAACAGCAGCUGGUGUCGGCCUGUUAGAGACAGAACCAGCCCAGACCGGAUCAAACCGGUUUGAGCUGGUUCUGUUAGCAGGUCAUUGGCUCAGGAUUUAACCCUCGGUUCCUCCUCUGUCCGUUUAUUCUGAGCUGACAGUCACAGUUUUAUUUUUCUUCAUAUAUAAAAAAAAAAAACUCGGUGUCUCCUGUAGUUCUCCGUCACUUUAGCUCCGCCCACCCUCCUUUGUCCACAAAUCGGCCAAUAGACUUCCAUUAAAAACAGGUUUUUUGAGUGUGUUUACGGCUCAUAUUUUAGUUAGAGGAGGAUGAACACUCAUAAAUGAUUCCUGUCUUACAGAUAUCUGCUGAUUUUAUAUGUUUAUAUAUAACAUUAAUUUAUUAUGAACACAUGAAUUUGAUCAUAUUUGAUUUGGUCGAGGACGAGGUUCGAGAAAAGGAGGUGAAAAUGUCGAGUUUUUCUGCUCCAAUAAACUUUAUCAAUAAAUAUGACAUGGUGAACAAAAACUGGAAUAAAAAGGGAAAAACAUCGAACUUUUUAUUCAUUAUUUUUCUAAUGAUCAGGGCUGAAGUUGUUGAAGAGAUCUGAGUCAAAAAAAGGAAGAAAAAAUGUUUAAAAAUGAUGAUUUUAUGAACAUCUGUAUGUCUGUUUUGGGGUCAAAGUCGGCUGUAUGGAGCUAAAAUACGAAAAAUUGACACAACAAAAAAAAUUUAAAUGCGUAAAAAUUGGUUUAACUUCUCAUCACCCACAUGGUCCAGACUCUAUUUAUUAAAAAAAAAAUCAUCUAAGUCAUUUUAUUUAGGAAAUAUGGAGAUUUUGUGUUUUUUACCAAUAAAAAUAGAAGUGACAUGGUGAACAAAACUGGAAUAAAAAGAGAAAUACAUCAAAUUUUUUAUCUAUUAUUUUUUUAAUGAUUAGGGCUGAAGUUGUUUAAGAGAUUUGAGUUGAAAAAAGGAAGAAAAAAGGUUAAAAAUGAUGAUUUUAUGAACAUCUGUAUGUCUGUUUUGGGGUCAAAGUCGGCUGAUGGAGCUAAAAUGAACAGGAACUAAAGGGUUAAAUUUUCCUGUUUUAGUGUUUUUGCUGAUUUUCUCUGUUUGGAUCUAAAGUGGACAGAACUGUCCUGAAAAUAAGAGUUACUGUACGAUGGUCGAGAUCCAGAUCUUCUGAUCAGGACUCAGUUUAGAGAACAAUAACCAGAUGACCAACGAUGCCAUGAGGCGCCAUGAUGGCGUGGCGUCAUUGGUCAGAACUCCCAAGCAAACAGUGACACCACAAACAGAAACCAUGACCCCUCUAAAGCUGAAAAUCAAGACCUGGACCAGGUCUAGAUUCUGGAACAGAAUAGUUCAGUGAAUUACAGAACUAGAACUCUGAAAGUACUAGAUCCUCAUGACUCUGGUCCUGUGAGGACAUGUCGGUGCGGAGACCUUCGACCUUU